rnacentral:tRNA from 1 species
GGGGCUUUAGCUCAGUAGGAUAGAGCGACAGAUUCCUAAUCUGUAGGUCACAGGUUCGAUUCCUGUAAGCCCCACCA